rnacentral:lncRNA from 1 species
GAACAAUGUAAUUUCUUCAUCUGGAAUUAUGUAAUUUCUUCAUCUGGAACAAUGUAAUUUCUUCAUCUGGACCAACGUAAUUUCUUUGAUCUAGAAACAGCUAGUGAGUCAGGGUUAGCGGAAACGGAAAGGAUUGAUAUCUCAGAUGGAGAAUGGAUCCUGUUCCCACCAUUAGCCUAUCAGUUUUGUCGCUUCUCAUUCUAAAAUAUUCAUGAUUUAUAAAAAUAUUUGGGGGCAGUUUCUGAAGUAAACUGUAUCCUCUUCAAUGACACACUUGGACAUGUGAAAAACAGGCUUGUCUGGACGGCAGCAUAGCAGCAGUACCACACACACCAAGGCCUGGCCCACUCUGAAAAUGCUAAGCUGCCCUGUUGCCAUGGUAAUGAUGAUGGACACCUUGCCUUCCAUUUAAACUGUCACUCUGUGAGCUGAGAGCAGUUAUACCGUUACCACAGUGCUGAUGACGGUCCCUGGAGAUGGGAAACUGCUGUACAGGCUCUUGCCUCCUGGAUACAGAAAUAGUUCCUUCAAGGUCAAGACGAUCUAUUGCCCAUUCCAGCCAGUGCUGUGGAAGAGUUCACCUGUGGCUGCCAGAAAGUGCACACCCUGGACAGGACGAGGACAGAGAUUCUACCAAGGUCCUCAUGGAAGUUGUUCCCUUUGACACUGCAGAGGAUGAGAAACAAUCUAUCGCCAAGGUGGAGUCCCCAGCAAAUGGAAACUUUCCCUGCAACGUCUUGGUGGACUCGCUGCCUCCAGACAGAACAGAAGAGGACGACCCACUGAACGCCCUGGUGGACGCCAGAGGAACUAAAGACGGUCACAGCAUCACUGUCGUUGCCCUCGUUCACACGGACGCCAGUUUUCCAGAUUCUGAGGAUCAGACCCAGGGAGCAGCAACUGGUUCCAACACUAACACCAGUGCAGACUUGGACCUGGGGUCCAGCAGCUCAGAGGACCUGGAGCUGCCAGAGGGAUGGGGAAGGGCAGCCCUGCCCUGUGCCUCCCCUCCAUAGUCAUGGUUCACUACCUGUGUGUUAAAGAAUAGUUUUGCAAACAAGCUCUGCUGUUCGUGUUAGAUGCUUUACUUCGUAUAUGUUAAAUACUAUUUCAUGACAUGUAAUUACUGUUGGUUGUUUUAUAUUAAAUAAUAGUCUCCUGCUACCAGGUUCUUUGAAACUUCUUUCUGUAAAAUAUAUCAUAGCAAAAAAAAAAAAAUGCUCUAAACACAAGUAGAACUUCAUGGACUUUAAAGCAGUCACUUCAGUGACCCGUCAC